rnacentral:rRNA from 1 species
CUACCAUGCAGUCGAGCGGUAGCACAGGGGAGCUUGCUCCCUGGGUGACGAGCGGCGGACGGGUGAGUAAUGUCUGGGAAACUGCCUGAUGGAGGGGGAUAACUACUGGAAACGGUAGCUAAUACCGCAUAACGUCGCAAGACCAAAGAGGGGGACCUUCGGGCCUCUUGCCAUCAGAUGUGCCCAGAUGGGAUUAGCUAGUAGGUGGGGUAAUGGCUCACCUAGGCGACGAUCCCUAGCUGGUCUGAGAGGAUGACCAGCCACACUGGAACUGAGACACGGUCCAGACUCCUACGGGAGGCAGCAGUGGGGAAUAUUGCACAAUGGGCGCAAGCCUGAUGCAGCCAUGCCGCGUGUGUGAAGAAGGCCUUCGGGUUGUAAAGCACUUUCAGCGAGGAGGAAGGUGGUGAACUUAAUACGUUCAUCAAUUGACGUUACUCGCAGAAGAAGCACCGGCUAACUCCGUGCCAGCAGCCGCGGUAAUACGGAGGGUGCAAGCGUUAAUCGGAAUUACUGGGCGUAAAGCGCACGCAGGCGGUUUGUUAAGUCAGAUGUGAAAUCCCCGGGCUCAACCUGGGAACUGCAUUUGAAACUGGCAAGCUAGAGUCUCGUAGAGGGGGGUAGAAUUCCAGGUGUAGCGGUGAAAUGCGUAGAGAUCUGGAGGAAUACCGGUGGCGAAGGCGGCCCCCUGGACGAAGACUGACGCUCAGGUGCGAAAGCGUGGGGAGCAAACAGGAUUAGA